CUCUAGUGGCCUACAGCAGUUGAAAUAACCUUACUCUUUGCUCCUCUCAUUUCUUGUUUGCCCCAUACUUGGGGAAGGGGUUAUAUGGUUAAAUCCUAGAAUGUCAGAGCCCGAAGAGCUCUUAGCAUCUCUGAAUCCAAUCUCCCCUCUUUCCCUCAACUUUUAAUUAAACCAAAGUCAAACCACAUCAUUUUCCAGCACCCCCUACCCUGCUGUGAAGCAGGUUGCAAUCUACUGCUCUUGGGUUCAGUCGUAUGACUUGCUUUGGACAAUGGAAUGUUAACAGAUAUAGUGUGAGGAGAAUCUUGGAAAAUGCUUAUGUAAUUGGGCUGCUCUCCGGUACUUCCGCUAGUGCAAGGAGAAUGUGUCCGGGCUAGCCCAUUGAUUUCAGGGGGGAUAAAUGAGACAUAUGAGCAGUAUUGUCAGCAAAGCUUCCUUAGCCCAAGACUAAGGCAGAGCUCCCCAGCUGACCUGCAGAUAAUUGAGUGAACCAAGCCAAGAUCAGCAGAGCCACCUAGCUUAGCCCAGCCCAACCUCGAUCCACCAAAUUCCAGACAACUCACAGAUACGAUCUCAUCCAGAAUCCCACAUUACAUUAAAUCAUCACGUCUCCUUAGUCUCCUCCAACCUUCUCAGUCUUUCCUUGUUUAUCGGCACCCUGGAAGUUUUGAGUGCUGGCCAGGUAGGAUUUGCUCUGGGGCAAGUCAGCUGCUGUGUUGUGAAGACACUCCAAGACAACUGUGGAGGGGACCCACCCUGCCAGCCACGUGAAUGAGACUCCCUGGAAGCAGAUCUUCCAGCCCCAGUUGAGCCUUCAAGUGACCACAGCCCUGACACGUCUGACUGAUCCUCAUGAGAAAUCUCAAGCUAGAGCUAUCAGUCCACCUGUUUCCAAAGUCCUGGCCCGCAGAAACUGUGACAGAAAAGAAGUGCUUAUUAUUUAUAUAAGUUACUAAAUUUGGGGAUAAUUUGUUACACAGCAAUUAGAUAAUGAAUACAGAAACACUCAGAAAAGUAUUCGAAAAAACAAAACUUCAAAUUUUACAAUUCCAAAAUAAACUCAUUAUAACUUGAAUAUAAUCCCUUCUUUUAAUGCUUAACCGUACUUAAACUAUGUCUUUGUAUAAUUUAAAAAAAUAAAACUGGGAUCAUAAUUUAUUUCACUUUUAUAUACUGACAUUUUCCCCACUUAGUGUGUAAAUAAAUUGUAGAUAAUUUAUCCAUGUUAUUAGAAAAUUCUUCAGAAAUGUAAGUUUAAUGGUUCUAUAAUAUACUAAAUGGAUAGUCCACAAUUCAGCCAAAUCGUUGGACAUUUAAAUUGUGUGAAUUUGUGCUGUUAUAAAUAUUACCACAAAAAAUACCUUUGAAAGGGACAAUACAGGAAACUGCUGGGAGCACAGGUUGGAAGCUCGUUUUGUGUAGGCAUGUUCUAAUUCUGCCCCUCCCUAGCUCUACGGCUUUGAGCAAGUUCCUUGGUAUCUGUGCCUUGUUUUCCUCUCCUAUAAAAUAAGGAAUGAAGUACCCUUGCUGGUAUUUACUAUUAUUUUUUGUGGUAAAAUUUACAUGACAUUUACCAUUUUAACCCUUUUUAAGUGUACAAUUUAGUGGUAUUAAGUACAUUUUCAUUGUUAUAUAACCAUCACCACCAUCCAUAUUAAAACUCUUUCAUCAUUCCAGACUGAAACUCUAUACCCAUUAAAUAGUAACUCCUCAUUCUCUCCUCUGCCCAGCCCCUGGUAACCACUAUUUUACUUUCUGUCUUUAUGAAUAUGACUAAUUUGAGUACACUAUUUGUCCUUUUUGAUCUAGC
rnacentral:lncRNA from 1 species